UUACGACCACAUCAUAUUGAAACAUUGGUUCUCGUACGAUCACCAAAGUUAAGUCAAGCCGAGCCUGGUCAGUAACUAGAUGGGUGACUGCUUGCGAAUACCAGGUGCUGUAAG